rnacentral:rRNA from 1 species
UACGGAGGGGCUAGCGUUGUUCGGAAUUAUUGGGCGUAAAGGGCGCGUAGGCGGCCGAAUAAGUCUGACGUGAAAUCCCGGCUCAACCUGGGAACUGCAUUGUGACUGCAUGGCUAGAGUGCGGCAGGAGGGGAUGGAAUUCCGCGUGUAGCAGUGAAAUGCGUAGAUAUGCGGAGGAACACCGAUGGCGAAGGCAAUCCCCUGGGCCUGCACUGACGCUCGAUGCACGAAAGCCGGUGGGGAGCAAACAGGA